GACAGAGGGUGCAAACGUUGUUCGGAAUUACUGGGCGUAAAGCGCGUGUAGGCAGCUUAGCAAGUCGGGUGUGAAAGCCCUGGGCUUAACCUAGGAAGUGCACUCGAAACUGCUGAGCUUGAGUUCUGGAGAGGAAGGCGGAAUUCUCGGUGUAGAGGUGAAAUUCGUAGAUAUCGAGAGGAACACCGGUGGCGAAGGCGGCCUUCUGGACAGUGACUGACGCUGAGACGCGAAAGCGUGGGGAGCAAACAGG
rnacentral:rRNA from 1 species